CUACCCAAAGCUGUUUUGUUUGGUGCAGGUUCUUGUAACCUGAGCUACUCAAGCUGUUGGAAGAGUAAAGACCAUGCUCCACUAUGGACUUGCAUUAUUGUAGUUCAUCACUAUAACAUGGUCAACAAA